rnacentral:lncRNA from 1 species
UAUUUAUUAAUUACAAAAACAAAUGUAGUAAUGGUAUAAAUUAUAAUAUACAAUAUAAUAAUAUAGGAAAAAGGAAAAAAAAAAAUCAAGUGUUUUUCGAAAAUUGUCGCAAUAAAAAUGAAAAAAACAUAAGUUAUAUGAAAAGCAUAUGUAACACAACAGUAAAAAAACUAUUAGUAACAAUUUUAUUUAAAAACAAAAAAAUACAAAAUGGUUUAGCAGAAGUGAAUGAAAAACAACAUGAUAAUGAGGUUAUGGAAGUUGUAACAGCAACUGUAACUCCCCAAGUUAUUAGUGAAUUUAACAAAGGGGAGCGAGCAGGUGUAUGUAGAGACAAUAGAAAAAAAAAAAAUGAAAAAAUAUAUGAUGAGCACAAUGGCACUGAUGAAAAAAACUAUAAUGAACAUACAAAUAUAAAUAUGAGUGUAACAACUAAUAGCACAACUAUAGAUGCUACCAACAUGGACCUAAACACUUGUACAAAAAAUAAAAACAGUAUUACUAAUAUAGUAAAACAUGAAGAAAAAAAAAAACAAAAAAAAAAACGACAGAUGAAUGAAGAGGUUCGUAAAAAAUUAUCGGAUCUUGCUAAACUAAGAUGGAGCAAUGGAGAAGAAAGGAAAAAGCUUUUAAGAUGUAAAACUAAAUUUAAACAUUCAGAAAAAACUAAAAAAUUAUUAUCAUACAAAAUUAAAUUAAAAUGGACCGAUGAAAAGUAUCGGAAGAGUAUUGUUGAAAAAACUCGAUUAUUUAAUCAACGUGAAAAAACAAAAAAAAAUAAAUCAUUAUUAUUAAAAGAAAAAUGGAAAACAAAAGAAUUUAGAGAAAAAAUGUUAUGUAAUAGAAAACCUUUUACUAUUGAAAGAAAAAAAAAGAUAUCCGAAAUUAUAAAACAAAAAUGGAAAGAAGAAGAGUACAAACAAAAAACGUUAAAAGCUAUAAAGGAUAAUUACAAAAAAAGGAAAUUACAGGUUGGAUUGAAUCCCAAUUUGAAUUAUGUUCAAAAUAUGAUGCAAUUUAAGCAGGUAAUAAAAUAUAUAUAUAU